rnacentral:rRNA from 1 species
AUGCUCCCGCUCCUCCUGGCCGCCGUCUCCAUCCUCGCCGCCGCCGCGGCAUCCGCCCAUCAUCCCCACCCGCUCGACCCCCUCUCCCCCGCGGAGCUCACCGCCGUGCGCGCGGCCGUGCUCGCCUCGCCGCUGGUCCCGGCGCGCCCGCUCACCUUCCACUACGUCGGCCUCGACGAGCCCGACAAGCCCGACGUCCUAUCCUACGUCUACGGCAACUCCGCUUCCUCGUCCCGCUCCGCCAUGCCGCGCCGCGCCUUCGUCAUCGCGCGCGCCGGCGGCCAGUCCCACGAGCUCCGCGUCGACGUCACCGACGCCGCCGCGCCGUCCGUCCUCGGUCACGCCGUCCACCGCGGGGCCGGCUUCCCGACGCUCACGCUGGACGAGCAGUUCGCGGCGGUGGCGCUGCCGCCCGCGCACCCGCCGUUCGUGGAGUCCGUGCGCCGCCGCGGCGUGGAUAUGGCCGACGUCCUCUGCGCCGUGUUCCCCGUCGGGUGGUUCGGGGACCUCCCGGCGGAGGAGCGGAGGGUGGUGAAGCUGCUGUGCUUCGUGGCCGGGGCGACAGCCAACUUCUACGCGCGGCCGCUGGAGGGCGUCACGCUCGUGGUGGACCUCGACCGGAUGGCCAUCGUCGGGUACAGGGACAGGGUGCUGCUCCCGGUGCCCAAGGCCGAGGGGACGGACUACCGGGCAGGAAACGCCGGGGCGCCGUACGCCGGCCGCGCGCCGGCGCCCGGCACGGUGGUGCAGCCGGAGGGCAGGGGCUUCGACAUUGACGGCCACUUCGUCAGGUGGGCCAACUGGGAGUUCCACGUGGGCUUUGACGUGCGCGCCGGCACGGUCAUCUCGCUGGCCUCGAUCCACGACGCCGAGGCCGGCGCGCGGCGGCGGGUGCUCUACCGCGGGUUCGUGUCGGAGGUCUUCGUGCCGUACAUGGACCCGGCGGAGGAGUGGUACUACCGCACGUUCCUGGACGCCGGCGAGUACGGCCUGGGGCUCUGGGCCUUCCCGCUCCAGCCCGGCGCCGACUGCCCGGCCAACGCGGCGUACCUGGACGGCUACUACGCCGGCCAGGACGGCAAGCCCGUCGAGAACAAGAACAUGAUCUGCGUCUUCGAGCGGUACGCCGGCGACGUCGCGUGGCGCCAUAGCGAGGCCGGCUUCCCCGACCGACUGAUCACGGAGGUCCGGCCUGACGUGAGCUUGGUUGUGAGGAUGGUGGUGUCGUGUGGGAACUACGAUUACAUUUUGGACUGGGAGUUCAAGACCAGCGGCUCCAUCAAAUUCACGGUGUCUCUGACCGGCCUCCUGGAGGUGAAGGGGACGGCCUACACGCACGCCGACCAGAUCAUGGAGGACGCGCACGGCACGCUGGUGGCGGAGAAUACCCUCGCCGUCUACCACGACCACUACGUCACGUACCACCUGGACCUCGACGUCGACGGCACCAACAACUCCUUCGUCAAGAACACCAUCGCCACCAAGCGCAACGAGGCCGGCACGCCGAGGAGGAGCUACUGGACGGUGCGCCGGGAGGUGGCCGAGACCGAGGCGGACGCGCAGGUGGACGUGAACGCCGCGCCGGCCGACCUGCUGGUCGUCAACCCCAACAAGCGGACCCGGAUGGGCAACGAGGUCGGGUACCGGGUCGUCCCCGGCGGCGCGACGGCGGCGUCGGUGCUGGACGACGACGACUACCCGCAGAGGCGCGCCAGCUACUGCAAGAAGCAGGUGCGGGUGACGCCGUACAGCAAGGCGGAGAAGUGGGCGCCCGGUCUGUACGCCGACCAGAGCACCGGCGACGACGGCCUGGCCGCCUGGAGCGAGAGGGACAGGGGGAUAAGGAACGAGGACAUCGUGCUGUGGUACACGGUGGGCAUCCACCACAUCCCGUACCAGGAUGACUUCCCGGUCAUGCCCACCGUGAGCGGCGGGUUCGAGCUCCGGCCGGCCAACUUCUUCGAGAGGAACCCGUUGCUCACAACGAGACCGCCCGGGCUUGACCAGCCGCCUCUCGUGAACUGCUCGUGCACCGGUGAUUCCAGAUGA